GACCGCGCACGCGUCAUCCAGCCUGCCGGCGGCGACACCGUUCGUCGCUCGGCCAAGUCCUCGAUUCCUACUCUCCUCGGAGCGGGGGAUCGGGGUAAAAGAACCCACGACGCCUAAGGCGUCAAGGAACACUGUGCCUAGCUCGAGGACGCGGACGGCUUGCUGGCCGCCCCUCGUGCUGCAAUGCUAUUUAAUCCACACGACUCUCGGCAACGGAUAUCUCGGCUCUCGCAUCGAUGAAGAACGUAGCGAAAUGCGAUACCUGGUGUGAAUUGCAGAAUCCCGCGAACCAUCGAGUCUUUGAACGCAAGUUGCGCCCGAGGCCAUUCGGCCGAGGGCACGCCUGCCUGGGCGUCACGCAAAACACGCUCCCACCCCCUCAUCGGGGAGCGGGACGCGGCAUGUGGCCCCCCGUCGCUCAAGGGGCGGUGGGCCGAAGAUAUGGCUGCCGGUGUAUCGUGCCGGACACAGCGCGUGGUGGGCGACCUCGCUUUACUUCCGCAGUGCAUCCGACACGUAGCCGACGUGAUUGCCUCGAAGGACCCUAUGAACGGUGCGCACGACGCUCCGACC
rnacentral:misc_RNA from 1 species